AGCAUGACUCAGGUGGCUUCGUUUGGAAGAGAAUUAUGCUCACUUCUACCCGUAAAGCCAACGCUAAGAAGCGUCUCCGCGCUUUUGGCAGAAUGAAGCCAUUUUGAGGGCAUGUUCAGAACCGCCUCCUUCGAAAGCAACCGAAGUAGCCGGUGUUGAGAAAAACGUUGAACAUCCAACUUAAAUGACAGUUAAAGAAGACCCUACAUGAGCCACGGAGGAAUUUGGUGACCUUCGGGUUAAUGUAGCAGAAAUUUUUACAAUCCUAGAUUUCAAUUUAGUUGUAUGGGAUCAUUGGCCACUUUUUCCCCAAUGUUGUUAAAGACCAUUGCUAUGAGCUAGUAGUUGGUCAAUGGACGUAGUGCAAUCAUAAUCACAGAUCUCUUAUCAGUA